GCCGCCGUUAAUUUUGGGACCAGAGUUGUGAGGGAGUCGAAUCCGGCCAGGCCGGUGACGGGGAAGAGAGGGGAGAGGGAGAGGGAACGAGAUCCAGUUGCAGAGAUGGUGUCCGCCAUUAAAACUUUGGGAGAUGGGUUUGUAAGAAUGGAGAGAAUGAAGAUGGAAAUGGCCCGAGAGAUCGAAGCAAUGAGAAUGGAGAUGGAGAUUAAACGAACAGAAAUGAUUCUGGAUUCACAGCAGCGGAUUGUGGAGGCUUUUGCUAAAGCAGUUACAGAAAACAAGAAGAAAACCAAGAGAAUUCCAUCUCCCGAGGCUUAAAAUGGCUUCCAUUUCUCCAUUUUUUGGGCUCAAUUUGCUUAAUUCCAAAUGGGUUUUCUUCCUUCUUCUCAAACGAUGAUUGGUUGCAGAGAUUUUCAGCUUCUGAAAGUCGAAAAUGAUCCUAGUUAGGUUCUUUUUCUAGUCUUUUGUUGCUUUUCCACUUUUUUUCCCCUUUCUUCAUUGUUCUCUUCAUGACUGG
rnacentral:misc_RNA from 1 species